rnacentral:rRNA from 1 species
CCUACGGGAGGCAGCAGUGAGGAAUAUUGGUCAAUGGGCGUAAGCCUGAACCAGCCAAGUCGCGUGAGGGAUGAAGGUUCUAUGGAUCGUAAACCUCUUUUAUAUGGGAAUAAAGUGCGGGAUGUGUCCCGUUUUGUAUGUACCUUAUGAAUAAGGAUCGGCUAACUCCGUGCCAGCAGCCGCGGUAAUACGGAGGAUCCGAGCGUUAUCCGGAUUUAUUGGGUUUAAAGGGUGCGUAGGCGGCCUUUUAAGUCAGCGGUGAAAGUUUGUGGCUCAACCGUAGAAUUGCAGUUGAAACUGGGAGGCUUGAGUAUAGUAGAGGCAGGCGGAAUGCGUGGUGUAGCGGUGAAAUGCUUAGAUAUCACGAAGAACCCCGAUUGCGAAGGCAGCCUGC